AGAUUGAACGCUGGCGGCAGGCCUAACACAUGCAAGUCGAGCGCGAAAGUUCCUUCGGGAAUGAGUAGAGCGGCGGACGGGUGAGUAACGCGUAGGAAUUUGCCCAGUAGUGGGGGACAACUCGGGGGAAACUCGAGCUAAUACCGCAUACGCCCCAAGGGGGAAAGCAGGGGAUCUUCGGACCUUGCGCUAUUGGAUAAGCCUGCGUCGGAUUAGCUAGUUGGUGGGGUAAGGGCCUACCAAGGCAACGAUCCGUAGCUGGUCUGAGAGGAUGAUCAGCCACACUGGGACUGAGACACGGCCCAGACUCCUACGGGAGGCAGCAGUGGGGAAUAUUGGACAAUGGGGGCAACCUGAUCCAGCCAUGCCGCGUGUGUGAAGAAGGCCUUAGGGUUGUAAAGGCACUUUCAGUGGGAGGAAAAAGCUGGCGGCUAAAUAUCCGUCGGCCCUGACGUUACCCACAGAAGAAGCACCGCAAAACUCCGUGCCAGCAGCCGCGGUAA
rnacentral:rRNA from 1 species